rnacentral:rRNA from 1 species
CGUGGGUAACCUGCCCAAGAGAUCGGGAUAACACCUGGAAACAGAUGCUAAUACCGGAUAACAACAGAUGAUGCCUAUCAACUGUUUAAAAGAUGGUUCUGCUAUCACUCUUGGAUGGACCUGCGGUGCAUUAGCUAGUUGGUAGGGUAACGGCCUACCAAGGCGAUGAUACAUAGCCGAGUUGAGAGACUGAUCGGCCACAUUGGGACUGAGACACGGCCCAAACUCCUACGGGAGGCAGCAGAC